rnacentral:lncRNA from 1 species
CUCUCUGCGGAAGCCAGCCACCGCUCUCCAAGGACUCUCGAGCAGCUCCAUCUACAGAUUCACAUGGAGAAGAAUUAAGGGUUCCUGCCAAUCACCAGCACCACUUUGCCAGCCUUGUAAGUGGGCCACCUUGGAAUUGGAGCCUCCAGUUCCUACUGACAUCUGACUGCAACAUCAUGAGAGACCCUGAGUUUGAACCACCCAGCUGAGCUGCUUCUGAGCUAACCCACUGAAACCAGUCUUGCUCUGUCACCCAGGCUAGAGUGCAAUGGCAUAAUCUCAGCUCACUGCAACGUCUGCCUCCCGGGUUCAAGCAAUUCUCCUGCCUCAGCCUCCCGAGAAGGUGAAAGUACCUGAAUGAAACAACACCCAGUAGCCACUAGCACACCUAGCUCCCAGAUCUCAGUUUUUGAUGCCAUUCUUCAGUAAAAGGAAGCAAGGCUGCUUGGAGAAAUUGCUAUCAAGGACUGGCGUAGAAAAUAUACAGGAUGAAAUUGGAGCAUCUUGUAGUGCUUGAAAACAGUUGGCAUCUGUGUGAAGAUGUGAAUGGAGGAGGCAGGGUACGCAGUGAGUGCCGCAGCCACAGCUUGGGUUCUCUGCAGCCCUGGCACAGAAGGUAGGAACACCCAUGGGGGAUGCG